GAUGAACGCUGGCGGCGUGCCUAAUACAUGCAAGUCGAGCGAACAGACGAUGAGCUUUCUGCGCUGACGUUAGCGGCGGACGGGGGGGUAACACGUGGAUAACCUACCUACAAGACUGGGAAAACGUCGGGAAGCCGGAGCUAAUAGGGGUGAAUUUGUUGAACCGCAUGGUUCGGUAGGGAAAGACGGUUUUGUUGGCACUUAUAGAUGGAGCCGUGCCGGAGUAGCUAGUUGGUAAGGGAAGGGCUUUCCAAGGCGACGGUGGGUAGGCGCCCUCGGAGGGGGGUCGGCCACCCUGGAACUGCGGCACGGUCCAGACUCCUACGGGGGGCAGCAGCAGGGAAUCUUCCGGCAUGGGCGACAGCCUGACGGAGCAACGCCGCGUGGUUGAUGAUGGUCUUCGGAUCGUAAAGCUCUGUUUUUAGGGAAGAACAAAUGUGUAAGUAACUAUGCGCGUUUUGCCGGUACCUAAUCAGAAAGCCACGGCUAACUACGUG
rnacentral:rRNA from 1 species